AUCCCUUGGCAAUGGGCAAAGAGAUGCCUUAUUGGUGGUGAUGGUCUUAUAUCAAUCAGGGGCAGAGCAGAUGAUAAUCCUUUGUUUAUCUUGCUUGAUGCCUGGCUUGGUGGCCAAUGGUGUUUUAUGUGUAGGACUUGUAA